AUCAGUGGCCAACAAUCGUCAGGAUUGUUGAGCUGCAUUGGCGGGAUUUCGCCGUCUUCGUUUCUCUUUCUUCGCGGACGAACACGCGCUGGGGCUGCAAGUUUGCAGAGUCCCUGGUCCUUGACUGGAUAUGCGUUAGGGGCUUGUAGCUCAGUUGGUUAGAGCGCGCGCUUGAUAAGCGUGAGGUCGGAAGUUCAAGUCUUCCCAGGCCCACCACUUUCAUCGAGUGAGCAUUCGUCUUCUGGUUACGGGGCCAUAGCUCAGCUGGGAGAGCGCGUGCUUUGCAAGCAUGAGGUCGUCGGUUCGAUCCCGUCUGGCUCCACCAGAUGGUUUGAUCAUCGACUGAUCGUGCACCUAAAUCGUCCGCGAAACAUCACUUCGCAUCUUGCUAGUCUGGAUAGACAGCAAGUUGCGUGAUUUCUGACAUCGUAAAGAGGAGAUCGAUCCGAGUUGGAUCGUGCAGCAAGCAAUUGCUACGCGAGACUUCAUUAUCUCCGGAUCAUUUCGGCGCUCGUGCGUCUUUCAAGGGCAGCUCACAAGGCUGCUUCUGGAGAGACAAGCGAGUUGUAAAUGAUCCUUUUAGCGAAGCUUGACCGCCUCGCUAUCGGAACGAUCUUACGAAGCAAGCUGGUCUUUCUAAUCAUUGUCCGGCUGCAGAUAGCGUUCAUCGAGGGCGCGUGCCGCAAGGCAGUUCUGCAGACAACAUUCUGCCGAGUGUGUGGACAUUGAUAAUGAGAGCAAUCAAGUGCCUUAAGGGUGUUCGGUGGAUGCCUUGGCGCUGAGAGGCGAUGAAGGACGUGCUACGCUG
rnacentral:tRNA from 1 species